GGCAGAUGAUGUGUUUUCUCACGAUGGUCUUCAGAAGCCCGCCAUGGGCACUGCUGAGAAAGCCAGUUGGCAACGCUGAUGCCGGAAA
ensembl:snoRNA